rnacentral:rRNA from 1 species
UGGGGAAUUUUGGACAAUGGGCGAAAGCCUGAUCCAGCAAUGCCGCGUGUGUGAAGAAGGCCUUCGGGUUGUAAAGCACUUUUGUCCGGAAAGAAAUCCUUGGCUCUAAUACAGUCGGGGGAUGACGGUACCGGAAGAAUAAGCACCGGCUAACUACGUGCCAGCAGCCGCGGUAAUACGUAGGGUGCAAGCGUUAAUCGGAAUUACUGGGCGUAAAGCGUGCGCAGGCGGCUUGCUAAGACCGAUGUGAAAUCCCCGGGCUCAACCUGGGAACUGCAUUGGUGACUGGCAGGCUAGAGUAUGGCAGAGGGGGGUAGAAUUCCACGUGUAGCAGUGAAAUGCGUAGAGAUGUGGAGGAAUACCAAUGGCGAAGGCAGCCCCCUGGGCCAAUACUGACGCUCAUGCACGAAAGCGUGGGGAGCAAACAGGAUUAGAUACCCUGGUAGUCCACGCCCUAAACGAUGUCAACUAGUUGUUGGGGAUUCAUUUCCUUAGUAACGUAGCUAACGCGUGAAGUUGACCGCCUGGGGAGUACGGUCGCAAGAUUAAAACUUAAAGGAAUUGACGGGGUCAUAGCUGUUUCCU